rnacentral:lncRNA from 1 species
UUAUUUGCGCCCCUUUCCUUUUUACUCUCAAACGAAAAACACAACAUCAUCUCCACUCUCUAGCCACUCAUCCACCAUUGUUCCUUCAUUGAAGAUCAGUCAUCCACCUUCAUCUCUGCAGGUAGGAAUUCCAUGUUUUUUUCAAAGACAACCAUCAAAUGUUGAAUCAUCAUCUUCAAGUAGUAAACCGCUGAAAAUAGAUAUGGAUAAUCUUCCAUGGACUCCUUCCGAGAGAUUAUCGAGGAAUCUGGAAAAGAACUGAAGUCGAUAAGGUGCAGUGUCGCACAUGGAAGAUGACUAACCAAGAACCUUAUGAGUAACAGAGAAAUUGAUUUAUGAUUUAUGAACGUGAAGGGCCCUUCAAAAUCCCAGUUCUUUGGGUUCAACUUUAUCCAGCAUUCGUUUAUCUAUUUGAUUGAUUUGUCACACACUUCAUGUGUUUGACGAAAUGUCUCAAUGAAAUUUCACACAAUUCGACAUAAGGGGUGAGUGCAAUAGCUUUGUUAAAAAGGAUCUAAUGCCAUGACUAACCAAACAUAAUAAUAAACCAAGAAUUUAGAUGACGCUAAAACUAAUCAUCACAAGUGAAUAAAUUAUGCUAGACUUUUUUGGCUAAUUGUUUCUUGUACAUUGCUUGUCAAUUGCCUUUUCAUAAUAAAUUCAUCAAAAGUCCUAAUGACUGAAUUUUAGGAGCUUUUAUUGUAACACCCCAAAACUCGUAUUAUUAAUACGUAGGUACGUUGCCAUGUUAAUUAAAUGAAAUACAAUAACUAGGUUAUUAAACUUAGUUAAAAGCCUAACAAAAUAAGUAAAGGAAUGAAACUUGUGGCAACUAUGAUGGUGUGAUAAACUUGAGAGACUAGGAUUGCCAAAUUUGAAACUGAAUUUAAUUAAAACAAAAAUCUCACAUACACAAGGUGUGUGUGUGCGUGAGAUCGAUCAGGAGAAGGGAGUGAGGGGUGUAAACCCUAGCCCUCAAGAAACCAUCAAAUUGAAGAAGGAUUUCAGCCUAAACUAAUGCAUGAACUCGUUUUCUUGAUGAUCUAGCCCUAUUAAACAUGUGGAACCACACUAGCAUGGACCAAGCAUGGAAGGCUAACGGGUCAAGUUGAGGCAAGGAAAAUGAUACAAACACGGAUGCAUAUGGUAAGUGAUUUCCGCAAUCACUUCUUAGUUGUUUACGUAGAGUUAUGUGCUAGUUAAUUAAGUAUGAUAAUUGAGAACAAAUAAGAAUGGGUUGUAUGAAACUGAUGAUUUCCACUAAGUAGAUGUAACGGGUCAUAAAUGAGGUCUUAAUGUUAUAACGGAACGAAGAGUAAGGAAUGGCUACGGUAUGAUAACCGGGUAACGGGUAGAAUUGCGCAUAAGUGCGCUAAUGGGUAAACGGAAGUACGGAUAAUGUAAAAGUAUUAUGGCUACAACGUUCAUGUAAGUUUUGGGCUAAAACGAAUAUGUUGUUUGAUUAAAACAUGAAUGGGUCGAAUAAUUAUGCAUAAGUAAGGUAGCGGUAAUGAAAUUCGUAAAGAUUAAGGACCCGGGGCAAGGAUUCUUAGUCUAAAAUGCAGGGAAAGGUUUUACGGACAAUUAGAAACAAGUUAUGUUGAUAUAUGCAUGAACGGGUCAAAAUUUGGUAAAAGGGUAAUAAGCCGAAGGCUUAAAAGUCAUGAAGUUAGGUAGUCCAAAUAUUGGAUUUUCACUCCAUGUGAUGGAGAAUUAAAUUACGGUCGCGUAGGAAAAAGAAUCGGGUAAAACGGAUCAAAAACGAGAAAGUUAUGCUCGUUUCCGUGAAAUCGAGUCAUGCUGAGAAUUAUACAGCACCAGCUGCAACAUUCUGUCAAAACUAGGCCGUGGCGUAGCGCGACGGGGAAGGCCCCAGGCCGUAGCGCUACGCGAGCGGGUGUCAGUUUCGCGAAAAUCUUUUAUUUUAACCGUUGAUGCAUUGCGAACCCGUCUGGACCGUUUUUAAACGCGUAUAAGCUAAGAAUGACUAAUUUAUUCCUUGUUUUAGGAAGUGUAGACACGUAUAGAGGUAUGCAUGUAUAUAUGUAUGAAUAUAGGUUGUAUGUAUGAAUGAAGGUACGUUUGGAUGUAUGCAAGUAGGUAUAUAUAUGAGCGUAUGCACGUAUGUAGGCAUACGUGAAGAUAUGAAUGUAUGUUUGAAAGUAUGUAUGUAGGUGUGUAUGUAGGUAGUGUGUAUAUGUACGCAAGUGAGUAUGUACGAAUGUAUGCAUGUGUGUAGAUAUGUAUGUAGAUAUGUAUGUAAUGAUAUAGAUGUGGGUAUGUACGUAUGUAUGUUUAUAAGUAUGUGAGCAAGUAUACGCGGAUAUACGAAGGUAUGUAUGUGAGUAGGCAUGUAUGAGUUAGGUAUGUUGCAAGUAGGGAUGUAUGUGUAUAUAUAUGUAUAAUGCUAUGGGUGUACGUAAUGAUGUAAGUAUGGGUGUAUGUAGAUAUGUAUGUAAUGAUGUAGAUGAGUAUAUAUGUGGGUAUGUACGUAUGUACGUAAAUGGUUAUGUGUGAACAUAUAAAUAUGUAUAAGUAUGUAUGAAGGUAGGUACGCAAGUAUCCAAUGAAAUUGAGUACUAACGAUAAUAUUAGCGUGCCUGGUGAAUGAAGUGUAACGCAGGUACAGCGAGAAAGUCUCACCACGGAUUGUAUGAUCAGAUGGAAAGCUGGGAUGUAAAGAGUUAACGGAUCGAAAAGUAAACGUGAAUAAAUCUUGUAUGUUUAUAAUGUGUACUAAUGUUAUGAAUUUAAUGUGGUGAGCGCAGGUAGUACGAGUCAUGUGGAUCAUCAGGGAAUAGAGAUCGAGGAUCGAGUCACUAGUGAGAUUGUACGGAAUGUUGGUGUAUGUAAUGUAGUAAACUCAUGUUAUAUUUUUAAUUGUAAAUGAGUCGAUUGAUGACUUUCUGCGAAAGAGUUAUGUUAAAAAUGAAAUUUUAAGUAAGUCAAGGUAUUUAUAAGGAAAGAAAUUUUAUG